AUUGAACGCUGGCGGCGUGCCUAACACAUGCAAGUCGAGCGGUAACAGGUGUAGCAAUACAUGCUGACGAGCGGCGGACGGGUGAGUAACGCUUGGGAAUCUGCCUGUUAGUGGGGGACAACCCGGGGAAACUCGGGCUAAUACCGCAUACGCACUACGGUGGAAAGCCGGGGACCGCAAGGCCUGGCGCUAACAGAUGAGCCCAAGUCGGAUUAGCUAGUUGGUAGGGUAACGGCCUACCAAGGCGACGAUCCGUAACUGGUCUGAGAGGACGACCAGUCACACCGGAACUGAGACACGGUCCGGACUCCUACGGGAGGCAGCAGUGGGGAAUAUUGGACAAUGGGCGAAAGCCUGAUCCAGCGACGCCGCGUGGGUGAAGAAGGCCUGCGGGUUGUAAAGCCCUUUCGGUGGGGAAGAAAAGCCUCGAUUAACACCUCGGGUCUUGACGUAACCCAUAGAAGAAGCACCGG
rnacentral:rRNA from 1 species